rnacentral:misc_RNA from 1 species
GCACUCUCACAAGACACCUUUGUUGGUGAAGAUUGUGGAAUUGGGAUGCGCCAAUUGUUAUGGAUUGGCCCUCCUAAAAUGGAGCUCUUGACUGUGGACUAGCACAGUAGUUUGGCCUAAUAGUUUUGGCAUUUGUCAAAUCUUUGGCUACAUUUUACUUUGGUCCAUGCAGUCUUGAUAUACAGAAAACUUUUUCAAA